ACUUGAAUAAUUUAAUAAAAAUAUUGAUUUGUGGUGUCAAAAAUAUGGUUUCAUUUUAAGUU
rnacentral:tRNA from 2 species